CUCUUAGCCGCAGCACAGGAGCUCUGUCUGGAGACCGAGCCCAGGAAACACAGGCUUAAGACACUAAAGCCCACUGUGAGGAUUCCAGCCACGCUGGGCCCACAUCCGGCGGGUUCUGCAACCAGCUCUGUCACUGGACUUUCCAGCAGAUUUUUGCUUCCACGAGGUGUUCAGCAAACAUGCUAAGGCGACAGAAUGUCUAGUUGGUCACGACAUGCAACGCUGACCAAUCGGUUGAUGACAGCAGCGACCACACCCACCUGAGCUACUGGUCCCACAGCACGAAGGGGGUUUGCGGGAACACGCGGAACCACACAGCGAUCAGCAACCUGAGGUAGGUCUCUUUACAGUACAAAAAACUUCUACACCAGUGUGAGACACUGAUUAGCAAGAGCUGCUUAAAGUCGCAGACUUUGGAGAGAGACAGACUGUGUGACGACUGCAGUGAGAGAGAACAGACCCACAAACUCCUGAACCCUGUCACUGAACUGUGGAGGCGUGGGACCAGGCAAAUGACAAAGUACCACUGACGAAAGCAGCAGCCGGCCCGGGGCUUUGGAGCCAGCAGGUGUGGGAGCUGGAGAGCUCUGUGCAGUGGCCAGCAUUUGGGAACCUGAGGCAGUGGGACACUCUGUGAACAGACUUGAUUCUGGUUAAGAAACAACAGCAAAAAGAGGAAGGCAGGAAAGAGACUCCCCCUGUCCAAGGAAUGUUCUGUGAUUCUCAUUCCUGACGGAGGGAGUGAAAAGGGGGCUGGGGCUCUGCCCCACUGCUCUCCUGACUGAAACAGUGAAUGACAACAGGACAGAAAGCAGGAGCCCUGAGAAUUCACGGCGCUCUGCGUGGCCUCCCGCAGCCCUGUCCACCGCCCCUCCCCACCGGGUGUGGCUGUGAGGAGGCGCAAGGGGACCACCGGAGGGCCCACUAUCGCCACACCUCUUCCUUUUGGACGCCCAGAGAACCCGGCACCGUGAAACCACCAGCUGAAGAACAGAAUGCUACCCUUCCUACAAUCUAAUAGCAAAAUCAGGUCUCUAGUACAGCAAACUGUACAAAAAUGAUAGAAAGGAAUUUGCACUGUUAUCAGGACAGUGCUUAUUUUAAUAUAAAAUAAACAGCUUACAUUUUCACUGUAAAUAUAGGCUAUGUACAGAAUUAUAUAUAGAUAUAGCUACACGUAUAAAGCUUCAUUAUAGGCCUCUGAUACAUUUAUAAUAACGGUUCCCUGAACCCUUUAGAGUGCAAUUAAGAACAAAAACUAAAUUUUGUUUACAUGAAUAUGGAAUAAAUACAAUAAUCAAAAUAGGACUCUCCCUAAAAUUGAAACACACAAGCCAAUCCUGAACUGCUGUGCGAAAGAUAAAACUGGGAAAGGCAAGGUUUCGGCAGGAGGACGCGAUGAGGGGCCCGCCCAAGGCAGGGAAUGGCAAUGCUCCAAGGAAAAGAGACGGCGGCAGGGAGAAGUUAGCCCUUGACAGCAACCUUGUUCUCCACAGCGGCAAACAUGGCAUAGAACCGGGAGCUGUCAUUGGACAGAAGGACUGAUGGGGUGUCGAACUCCACCACCUGCAAAGGAAGGAGACACAUCACUUGGGGUCACGCAAGAACCACAGCCAAGAAGGAGGUAAACCCCAAAGCCCCCUGGGGACAGAAUCACAGUGACAAUUCCAUGAAGUUCUGCCAUGCCCCAGUGGGUUCCACUUUUGGUUUUUUCUUUCUGCUAACCACAAUAUGAAGGACAGGUUAGGGACCUCCCUCACCUCACAUAAAUCUCAGAGAGAAAAAAAAUUGCAGUGCAAGUCAAGGACAUAGUAGGCAAUGUCAUCUUGUACAAACUGAUCCUAACCUAUAGACGGAAAAAGAACAGCUCCGAAUAUCCAGCUGGCAGAAUAAAAAAAGUAAGAGAUCUAGUCAGUCACUUAUCCACUCCUUUGAUGGACAUCUGUGCAGCCACAAAAAUCCUAUUGCAGCAAAAAAUGGAACAAUAUGUUGGUAUAGCCCGGCUUCCAUAAAAGAGGCAGAAAAUGUCACCUACUCACUUUCCCAGCCUUUCUUGCUACAGGGCCAAGGCCUGGGGCACAGCCUUGACCGAGGAGAAGUCUCUGGGCGCUUCUAGGAAAGGCUGCUCUGCCCGGUAGAUAUAGGCAGAGGGCAAAGUUCGCUUCCCCAGGCCUGGCUACCUGAGGCUAUGACAGCGGGUGCUACGUAGACAGCCUCGCCCUGGAGGGGGAGGGGAGGUAGGUACUGGCUGGAGGCUGAUGCAGACCCUGACCGUGCUGAGCUGCUGAAGAACCAACCAUUUGGCCUCCUGCCGUGGGCUGACGGUCUCUUGCUGUCCAAGCCUCUUCCGUUCUGCUACUGCGUGUCUGCCGCAGAGCACAUCCUAUCCAUUAGAGUCUGUGCUUAGAUAUGCAUGAAACAGGCUGGCAGGGGCAAACGGAUGUCCCCGGUGAGGGAAAGGGCUCAUUUUAUUUUUGCCUUUAUGCUUUUUUCAUGUUUUUCGGGCUGUCCUCCGAUGAUAAGGAAAUUUUACUUCACAAGAAACAAAAAUGAAGGGACGGAUAGAGUUCCUCACAGAGAGCCAAUCAAUCCCCAUUCCAAAACACUAAGCCACUCAUAGAAACAGAGUGGUCUAGAUGUGUGUCUUUAAGAAAGAAUUUCCCGGACAGUGUUCUUGGCCUCCUCCGCUUUAUACAUUCUACUUAAUACCUACGUACAGAGUAGUAGCUGCCUGUACCGAGUGUGAACUAGAAUUUCAGUAAACAUUUAGGAUAAUGCAAAGAUAGUAGCAACACCUGCCAGUGUUCACAUAAUUUCAAGAUGAGGAGAAAAACCGUGAACUCCUAUGUUUUCUCAAACUCAGCUCUGAGGCCCAGACUCCAUCUGUUGUAGUAACUGUUUUCCUCAGGACUUCUCCACAGACAGAGGGACGAGGCGGUUGGGCUGUGUAAAGCACUGGCUUUGGUGUCGCCGGCCUAGCUCAGUUCCUGCUCUCUCCCUUCCUGUGGACUAGAGAUAGGUUCAGUUCCCUGAGCCCAUGUUCUCUUCUGGAAGGCAGGGCUGACACAUCUGCAUCUUUGUUGUGUGGCGGUGAUGACUAUGCAUUGGGAGGCUGUACGUACAGCCCUUAGCGCAGUGCCGGAUGCAGCAAGCAUUCAAUGGAAGUGGCUAUUAUAGGGGCCUUAUUAUUAAUCACACAAGACAAAUCACACACUGCAAAUGGCUUGUUGUUUCUGCCAAACCACUAAUUUCCUGCCAUCCCAGGCGCACACAAAGGAGCUAUCUGUCCAACAUAAAUUUACUUAACAUCAUAAGUGACAUACUUAACAUCUACCAUGUGCAAAGAAUGUCGCAUGGGGCCCUGCCAGGGACCCAGAGACAAAUAAGGCAUGACCCCUGCCCUUACAGAGUUUACAGUCUAAUAGGGGAGAGAGGGCAUUAGCCAGUGACCCUCAAAGGAGGCAGAGGAGCUACACGACAGGUACACAAAGUUUCAGGUGGCAGAGAGUGUCAGGCUGUGGGAACUGUGCCUUUCAGAGGGAUAGGCAGGCUGCAAGCAGACAGAUAUGGGGAUGUAGCAGAGGGAACAAGAGGAAAAGGCACUGGAGGUACAUGGGACUGAGUGAGGAAAGACACGGAGGAAAGCCAGUUUAGGGGAUGCAAGUUUUUUGUUUGUUUGUUUGACAGAGACGAUAAGAGAGGGUGAGCAAACAGGGGGAGUGGGAGAGGGAGAAGCAGGCUUCCCGCCCAGCAGGGAGCCCAAUGCGGGGUUUGAUCCCAGGACCCUGGGAUCAUGACCUGAGCCAAAGGCAGACGCUUAACGACUGAGCCACCCAGGUGCCCCAAUGCAAGACUGUUUACGGCCACCGACACCUUCAAGAAGUGAGUGGCAAAGGAAGGCGGCCGGGCUGGACCAGACUGUGGGAAAGCUUGGAACAGCAGUAUAAGAAGUCUGGCACCACCACAUGAUUGUGAAAAGCCAACUCAAGGUGGCUGGACUCAGUACACCUUGGGCAAUUCCUGUGUAUGUGAGUUCAUUAGUAAGCACACGGGCUCUCUGACCUAGGUCAAAGUCUCAUUUUUACAGGCAAGAAAAAAGCAGGUCCCAAAGCAAAGUAAGAACCAGUUAAGAGUGCCCCUACUUGAUCUCUGGCUCGGGAGGACUGUAUCACUCCCACUGGCAGCCAGAUUAGAGUUACUAAGGCUGCUUAUCUGAAAGCUAACAAGCGCAGAGAAGAAGGUGCCAAUCAGCCCAAUCCUGCCAGGGGCCAGUUUCCCCCAGACAAGGCCACAUGCCACAUUAUGGUCCCUCAGGGGCUCAGUACCUGUCCCUGGGCCAGCACCAUAAUCCUAUCAGAGCCGAGGACUGUAUGUAGGCGAUGGGCAAUGGUCAGCAUGGUGCAGUCAGCAAACGCUUCUCGGAUGGUCUCUUGGAUUAGUAAGUCUGUCUCCGUGUCCAUGGCGGCUGUGGCUUCAUCAAGAAUCAGAAUCUGCCACAAAAGAGAGGAGAAAGAGAGAUCCAACCAAUUUCCUAAGCAUUCUUCUCAAUCUACAUUUCACUAAAAUGUAUUUCAUUAUUUAAGUUUUACACCAUACUCUGUUUUUCCUCAGUAGGUACAGGCCUAUGUAAAAUGACCAUCUUGCUUAGAACAGAUACAACUUUAAACCCACGUGUCUGCCUUCCUUUCCACACACAAAAGGAUAAGCAUGUAACACUGAUCUAAUAAAACGCUUGCCCCCACUUGCUCUGUGAUCCUGAGCAUGAACAGAAAUCUUUCUGGAUCUUCCUUUUCCAGUUACAAAAUAAGGGGACUGGAUUUGAUGGCCUGGAGAUCUGUAGGUCUAUGGUUUCCAAUAGUACUACGACCACUCACUGGCGAGAAACAAAAGUCACCCUUGGAAUUGAAAGACCUGGGGAAGUCUGAAAGCUCAAAAACUCCUGUAUACCCAGAUGAUGUCAAGGUGAAUUUAGAAACAUCUCUGGGGCCAGGAAAGCCUUUGGAUCUCAUGGCACGGGGAAAGGCUGUUCUUCCCCUUGCCUGCCACUCCACAGACCGCCGUACCUUACAGUGACGGAGCAAGGCUCUGGCUAUGCACAGGAGCUGCCGUUCCCCCACUGAGAAGUUAUCGCCAUUCUCCAUCACUUCAGAUUCAAGUUUCAGAGGUAGCUGAGCAAUCUAGGGAGAAAGGAAGUAGAGAUGUGAAGAGUCAAAAAAGGGUAAAUUUAGGGAGGAAAAAAACUGAACUAAAUUUUGUCCAAAGUCCAGUGGCAAAAAUAAGCUAUUCUGAAACAGAUGCAACAAUGAUUAGCCAAGAACCCGGCUCACCUAGAAAGAAGGUAUAGGGGUGAUGAUCACGUGUAUUAAGACCCUCAUUUUCCAGGACAGUCCCUGUUUCAAGUAUACUAUUCUGUUAGCCUUAUACUGUUCAAAGUUCUUAAAAUUCCAGUAUUUUCAAAUCCCCAAAUCCUGUCAGAUUGUGGCCCUAAUCUUUGGUUCUGAAAAUAUGGUCAUACCCCUAGGAAAUGGGGAAAGUGAGAUCACUCUUUCUGAUUUCCAAGGCUCUAAGUUUAUGGCUGUCAAACCUGCCUUUAUAAUAAGCUUUAAGCCUAUCCUUCCAAUGAAAUGGUUGGAGGAAGCCCAGUAUUAUAGUGAUAAAGGCAGAACUGACCUAGCUGAAUCAGGGCAGGGGAUCUCAAGCUUAAGUCAGCUCAGGGGCAUGAGAGAUCCUACCCCCGCCCCCCGGGCGGGAAGUAUCAUGGCCUUGGGAGGAUGCGUGCUGAGUUACCCUAAGAGGUCAGUGACCUCAUAUACAUGCUGCAUGCUUUCUGCAGACAUGAUACAUAUCUAGAUGCUGCAAAAGCAUGUUAUACCGUUAUGAUGAAUAAAACAGAAAUGAAUAUAAAAGCAUUAUAUUAUUCUGAGUGUUUGUCAUUAAUACCUUGGUUAAUCAAUGGGCAGCAAAAGCACAAUAUGACCACGGUUGAGAGAUACCAACUUUUAAGCCCUUUCUGAAAUGCCUGGGAAGCCUUAUCUAAAGUGAUCCCACACAGACAGCCUGGAAAUAAAGGGCCAGACCAGGCUGGACAGAGGCAGCCAGGGAAGGCUGGGGAGUGACCUCGGGACUGUUAUGGUUCCAACCUUUAAAUACCAGUGAAGCGGUCCCUUGGGGCUUUACUCACACAUUUUUUUUUUUUUUUAAGGUUUAUUUAUUUAUUUGACAGGCAGAAAUCACAAGGAGGCAGAGAGGCAGGCAGAGAGAGAGGAGGAAGCAGGCUCCCCACUGAGCAAAGAGCCCGAUGCGGGGCUCGAUCCCAGGACCCUGGGAUCAUGACCCGAGCCGAAGGCAGAGGCUUUAACCCACUGAGCCACCCAGGCACCCCUACUUACACAUUCUUUCAUGUGUGUCCUUUCUAGGGCAUCCCAGAUCUGGUCUUCAGUGUACUGGUUGAAGGGAUCCAAAUUUGACCUAGAGAGAAGCACGGGAGGAAUUUCCCAGUGAUUCAGCAUGUAGGUGACCAUACUGCAAAGGCGGUCUGUGGUAGAAAUUUAAACGCACAUGGGAAAUGGAGGGACGAAACUCCUCAAGGUCACAGACGACUGGCUCCCUAACCAGCCUUAGGCAGCAGUGACAAAUACUCCUGCCUCGCUGUCCCUGUAUCUGAGAACAGGCUGGGCCGCUCCGUCGUCUUUAUAAAACUUUAUUUCUUUUAACAUGUACUACUUUCAUUAUGUAAAUAUUGCAGAUCAGAUCAGAAAAAUUAACAAAUACAGAUACUGAAACAUAAAACCCAAACCAAUGUUUUCAUCACCUCUAAUCAGACCCUCAGCAGCAAACACUGUUAGCAUUGUGGCAUAUACAGGUUGAAAUACACCUCUCUGUGUGUACAAUUUUAGAAAAAAAGCCUCUUUCUUCCUGACUCACUAGGGUGAGAGCCUGUCAGAGCAGGCACUCGAGGGUGGCUGGAGGACCAGGAGGAGCAGCCAGUCCAGCGGAGGAGAAAGGAGGGCCUGAAGAGCAACUUAGGGGAAAGCAUUUACUGGUGCAGAAAACCAGUUUGGGUACCAUUCUUGCUCACUGUACCCACAGUAGCUAUCUCAAGAACAUCGAGGAUGGUACUGAAAGAACAGGACUCGACAUUUCUGGAAACGUGAAGAUGGGGGAAACAGCUCUUUGUCAUGGAGGAAGAAGGUGGAGAAAUGGUGGAGGAACGGGUAACUGGUGGAAACUGGGAGGUGACAUUCCUUUUGGGGCAUCUUGUCUCUGUCUAAACAUGACAUUUACAGGGCUAGUGACCUGAAAGGUAUUAGGUAUAAUCUGCUUUGCUCAUGAACUUGGUCUGCAUGUAUGGGAAACAGGAAAGUCUUCAGGAGAACUUGAGCUCCACGUCUCAUUUGUCUCCGUGUCUGGGGUUACUAACUCCAGGCAUGUAAAUGCAAGCAGGACGUUAUCCCAGAACUCCACCGAGCCCCGGUGGGCACCUGCCCCACUCAUCCCUUUGGGCCCUCUCUGGACUCUCCCAGGAGACUCUAACUGGCUCUGCUCUCUUGUGCCUCUUGCCCUUUGCACAUGGAAUAUGUGUACCUCUCCUCACCCUUUGGAUUGAGAGACUCUGGCAAAAGCAAGGGCUCUGGGGCCAGACUUGCUGAUUCCUACACAGCUCCUAUCUACGGCGACCGUGUGGCCCCGAUGACGUUAGCCUAACUUCUCUAUGCCUCCGUGCCCUCACGUGUGAGACAAAGAUCCAAAAGCACCUCCUCCAAAGGUCGGGAUGGCUGCAUUUCACGUGUAGAAAGAAUUCAGAGUGGCCCCCGCUGCAUAGUUAGCAUUGUGCACGUGGGAGCUAUGAUUACGAUGAUGUCAUUAUUGGCAUGCUGUUACUCUUUGGCCAGGAUUCCUUCUUGUCCUUCAGGUCACAAAUUAGAUGCAGAAAGCAUCUCCUGACUCUUCAAGCCUGACUUAGGUGUCCUCAUGCCCACCCUCUUUAUGGCACUUGUCACUCUGUCUGUUUGUCUCUGCCCCCAUUGCUUCAGGGUCCUUGUCUGGAUCUUCUUUGCUGUUGAAUCCCAUGCACACUGUCUAAUAUUUGUUGUCAGAAUAAAAGAACAUAGAGCCUUA